AAUGAACGUUGGCGGCGUGGAUUAGGCAUGCAAGUCGAACGGGCCUGGUUUUCGGAUCAGGUCAGUGGCGCAAGGGUGAGUAAGGCGACGGUAACCAACCCCAUGGUUGGGUAUAGCCGCGGGAAACUGCGGGUAAUCCCUAGCGAUGUAAGAUGCCGGCAUCGGUGUUUUAUCAAAGCUUUGGCGCCGUGGGACGGGCCGUCGUGGUAUUAGGUAGUUGGCGGGGUAACGGCCCACCAAGCCGAUGAUGCCUACCGGGCGUGCGAGCGUGGCCCGGCACACUGGGACUGAGACACUGCCCAGACUCCUACGGGAGGCUGCAGUCGAGAAUCUUCGGCAAUGGGCGCAAGCCUGACCGAGCGACGCCGCGUGGAGGAUGAAGGCCUUCGGGUUGUAAACUCCUGUCGAGGGGGAGGAAGGGGAAACCUUGACCGAUCCCUGGAGGAAGCACGGGCUAAGUUCGUGCCAGCAGCCGCGGUAAGACGAACCGUGCGAACGUUAUUCGGAAUCACUGGGCUUAAAGCGCGUGUAGGCGGAUGGGAACGUCGGCAACUGAAAGCCCCCGGCUCAACCGGGGAAGUGGUUCCGAAACGACCUGUCUGGAGGGACGUAGGGGGAUCUGGAACUUCCGGUGGAGCGGUGAAAUGCGUUGAGAUCGGAAGGAACGCCCGUGGCGAAAGCGAGGUCCUGGACGUCUGCUGACGCUGAGACGCGAAAGCUAGGGGAGCAAACGGGAUUAGAUACCCCGGUAGUCCUAGCCGUAAACGAUGGGCACUGGGUAGGGGGCUCGCCGAUGGGCUCUCUGCCGUAGCGAAAGCGUGAAGUGCCCCGCCUGGGGAGUAUGGUCGCAAGGCUG
rnacentral:rRNA from 1 species